rnacentral:tRNA from 1 species
UCCCUGGUGGCCUAGUGGUUAAGGUUCUGUGCUCCCAAUGCAGGGAGCACAGGUUCCAUCCCUGGUUGCGGAA